AUUGAACGCUGGCGGCAGGCCUAACACAUGCAAGUCGAACGAGUGGCGGACGGGUGUGUAAUGUCUGGGAAACUGCCUGAUGGAGGGGGAUAACUACUGGAAACGGUAGCUAAUACCGCAUACCAUCGGAUGUGCCCAGAUGGGAUUAGCUAGUAGGUGGGGUAAAGGCUCACCUAGGCGACGAUCCCUAGCUGGUCUGAGAGGAGGACCAGGCACACGGGAACGGAGACACGGUCCAGACGCCUCCGGGAGGUAGCAGUGGGGAAGAUGGCAGAAUGGGCGCAAGCCUGAUGCAGCCAUGCCGCGUGUAUGAAGAAGGCCUUCGGGUCGUAAAGUACUUUAAGCGGGUAGGCGUUACCCGCAGAAGAAGCACCGGCUAACUACGUGCCAGCAGCCGCGGUAAUAC
rnacentral:rRNA from 1 species